UACGGGAGGCAGCAGUGGGGAAUAUUGCACAAUGGGCGCAAGCCUGAUGCAGCCAUGCCGCGUGUAUGAAGAAGGCCUUCGGGUUGUAAAGUACUUUCAGUCGUGAGGAAGGUGUUAAGGUUAAUAACCUUAGCAAUUGACGUUAGCGACAGAAGAAGCACCGGCUAACUCCGUGCCAGCAGCCGCGGUAAUACGGAGGGUGCGAGCGUUAAUCGGAAUUACUGGGCGUAAAGGGCACGCAGGCGGUUAAUUAAGUUGGAUGUGAAAUCCCCGGGCUUAACCUGGGAAUGGCAUUCAAGACUGGUUAGCUAGAGUCUUGUAGAGGGGGUAGAAUUCCAUGUGUAGCGGUGAAAUGCGUAGAGAUGUGGAGGAAUACCGGGUGGGCGAAGGCGGGCCCCUGGGACAAAGACUGACGCUCAUGUGCGAAAGCGUGGGGAGCGAAACAGGGAUUAGAUA
rnacentral:rRNA from 1 species